UUAUGUCGUUCAUGUUUGAGAAAACCUGUAUGUGGAUCCUAUAUUUGAAACACAAACAAACAAGUUUGAGUGGGUGUGUCUGUGUGUUUGUGGGAGUGCCUGCUUGUCUUUUUCCCUGCAGGUUGGCCUGAGAAACCCCUUUACCUGAUUUCCCUUCAACUCACCUGCUGCUGAUUACUCUGAUUACUGCUGCUCACUCACUCCUGGACCAGCUCACCAGUAUUUGCUGAGGGGCUGAGCAUCUGCAGACACACACAUGCCAGGAAAAAUAACUGGGAUGUUUACCAGGGCCGGGGCAAUAGGCGAGCAAGGCGGACACAUGCAGAUCGCUUUCUUAUCUGAGGAGUGGUGGCCCCCGCACCUGCCGGCCAUGUAACCCCUGCUUGGUCCCAAGUGGAAUAUGAGGUACAACCCUCAAAGGAUAAGCAGUGCAGAUGAUUCACAAAAGACCCUAAUCUUCUGUCCAAUCGUUGACCUCCUGACCCUCAACGCACCUGCUCCCCAUCAGACGUCAGCCACAGUGCAAGUCAACUCCACACAGGACGUUCUACGCAGAUGGGAGAAUUAGACACAGAUUCCACCACGCCAUGUCAGAGUGGAGGGACGCCUCGAGCUUCGGAGGGAGGUGAAAGGUUCAGAUCAACAAGGCAAACUGGUUUAUUUCUUACUUUUCCCAGCCUGACAUUGCUUAUACUCGCCGCAGCUGUUGGGGAGGUUAGAUUAGUUUGGACAAGCAGUCACUCUGGCAUCCAGGAUGUUUACUCCGAAUGCAUCAUCACACGCCAACAGGAAAAAACAACUGCAACCACAGCAUGCAUCCAUCCUCCCCUUUUCCCUCGGCGUCCACACGUUCUGGGGACUUUUGUUUCAGUCCGCUCGCUCAAAGUGAAGCCCAGUAAAAUAAUUUCCUGAGGACUUAAAGUCGUCUUUUUUAAUUUUAGGAAAAUAGAUGAUAAAGCACAAC